UUGGAAGUUGGGUAGAAUAUCUU
rnacentral:piRNA from 1 species